GCCUUCUAAUAAUCUUGUCAGAAGAAAUAAAAGAAAGAAAAAUGCUGAAGAAAUAGACCUGACAGUAAUUACAUAUUUCGAAGGUCUUCUUACUGAUUUCUUGCUCUUCUAUGUGGCUUGUGAAAACUCUAUUAAUCUUCCAUGUGAACAUCCUUCCUCAGACACGCCUCCACCCUGAUGUUCUGUCUCACCUCAAGCCUAGAGCAAUGGAACCAGCCACCUAUGGGCUGAAACCUCUGAAACCAUGAGGCAACAUAAACCUUCCCUCCUCUAAAUUGUUUUUCUCAGGUAUUUUGUCCCAAUGAUGAAAAGCUAACAUAGUCACCAUAUAUGA